GAAAUGCGAUACUUGGUGUGAAUUGCAGAAUCCCGUGAACCAUCGAAUCUUUGAACGCACAUUGCGCCCCUUGGUAUUCCGAGGGGCAUGCCUGUUCGAGCGUCAUUACACCACUCAAGCUAUGCUUGGUAUUGGGCGUCGUCCUUAGUUGGGCGCGCCUUAAAGACCUCGGCGAGGCCACUCCGGCUUUAGGCGUAGUAGAAUUUAUUCGAACGUCUGUCAAAGGAGAGGAACUCUGCCGACUGAAACCUUUAUUUUUCUAGGUUGACCUCGGAUCAGGUAGGGAUACCCGCUGAACUUAA
rnacentral:misc_RNA from 1 species